GGUUAAGUUAGAAAGGGCGCACGGUGGAUGCCUUGGCACUAGGAGCCGAUGAAGGACGGGACGAACACCGAUAUGCUUCGGGGAGCUGUAAGCAAGCUUUGAUCCGGAGAUUUCCGAAUGGGGAAACCCACCACUCGUAAUGGAGUGGUAUCCAUAUCUGAAUACAUAGGAUAUGAGAAGGCAGACCCGGGGAACUGAAACAUCUAAGUACCCGGAGGAAGAGAAAGCAAAUGCGAUUCCCUGAGUAGCGGCGAGCGAAACGGGACCAGCCCAAACCAAGAGGCUUGCCUCUUGGGGUUGUAGGACACUCUGUACGGAGUUACAAAGGAACGAGGUAGAUGAAGAGGUCUGGAAAGGCCCGCCAUAGGAGGUAACAGCCCUGUAGUCAAAACUUCGUUCUCUCCUGAGUGGAUCCUGAGUACGGCGGAACACGUGAAAUUCCGUCGGAAUCCGGGAGGACCAUCUCCCAAGGCUAAAUACUCCCUAGUGACCGAUAGUGAACCAGUACCGUGAGGGAAAGGUGAAAAGCACCCCGGAAGGGGAGUGAAAGAGAUCCUGAAACCGUGUGCCUACAAGUAGUCAGAGCCCGUUAACGGGUGAUGGCGUGCCUUUUGUAGAAUGAACCGGCGAGUUACGAUCCCGUGCAAGGUUAAGCAGAAGAUGCGGAGCCGCGCGAAAGCGAGUCUGAAUAGGGCGAAUUGAGUACGUGGUCGUAGACCCGAAACCAGGUGAUCUACCCAUGUCCAGGGUGAAGUUCAGGUAACACUGAAUGGAGGCCCGAACCCACGCACGUUGAAAAGUGCGGGGAUGAGGUGUGGGUAGGGGUGAAAUGCCAAUCGAACCUGGAGAUAGCUGGUUCUCUCCGAAAUAGCUUUAGGGCUAGCCUCAAGGUAAGAGUCUCGGAGGUAGAGCACUGAUUGGACUAGGGGCCCCUACCGGGUUACCGAAUUCAGUCAAACUCCGAAUGCCGAUGACUUAUCCUUGGGAGUCAGACUGCGAGUGAUAAGAUCCGUAGUCGAAAGGGAAACAGCCCAGACCGCCAGCUAAGGUCCCAAAGUAUACGUUAAGUGGAAAAGGAUGUGGAGUUGCUUAGACAACCAGGAUGUUGGCUUAGAAGCAGCCACCAUUUAAAGAGUGCGUAAUAGCUCACUGGUCGAGUGACUCUGCGCCGAAAAUGUACCGGGGCUAAACGUAUCACCGAAGCUGCGGACUGUUCUUCGAACAGUGGUAGGAGAGCGUUCUAAGGGCUGUGAAGCAAGACCGGAAGGACUUGUGGAGCGCUUAGAAGUGAGAAUGCCGGUAUGAGUAGCGAAAGAGGGGUGAGAAUCCCCUCCACCGAAUGCCUAAGGUUUCCUGAGGAAGGCUCGUCCGCUCAGGGUUAGUCGGGACCUAAGCCGAGGCCGAAAGGCGUAGGCGAUGGAUAACAGGUUGAUAUUCCUGUACCACCUCCUCACCAUUUGAGCAAUGGGGGGACGCAGGAGGAUAGGGUAAGCGCGGUAUUGGAUAUCCGCGUCCAAGCAGUUAGGCUGGGAAAUAGGCAAAUCCGUUUCCCGUGAAGGCUGAGCUGUGAUGGCGAGCGAAUUAUAGUAGCGAAGUUCCUGAUUCCACACUGCCAAGAAAAGCCUCUAGCGAGGUGAGAGGUGCCCGUACCGCAAACCGACACAGGUAGGCGAGGAGAGAAUCCUAAGGUGAUCGAGAGAACUCUCGUUAAGGAACUCGGCAAAAUGACCCCGUAACUUCGGGAGAAGGGGUGCUCUGUUAGGGUGCAAGCCCGAGAGAGCCGCAGUGAAUAGGCCCAGGCGACUGUUUAGCAAAAACACAGGUCUCUGCGAAGCCGUAAGGCGAAGUAUAGGGGCUGACGCCUGCCCGGUGCUGGAAGGUUAAGAGGAGCGCUUAGCGUAAGCGAAGGUGCGAAUUGAAGCCCCAGUAAACGGCGGCCGUAACUAUAACGGUCCUAAGGUAGCGAAAUUCCUUGUCGGGUAAGUUCCGACCCGCACGAAAGGCGCAACGAUCUGGGCACUGUCUCAACGAGAGACUCGGUGAAAUUAUAGUACCUGUGAAGAUGCAGGUUACCCGCGACAGGACGGAAAGACCCCGUGGAGCUUUACUGCAGCCUGAUAUUGAAUGUUGGUACAGCUUGUACAGGAUAGGUAGGAGCCUUGGAAACCGGAGCGCCAGCUUCGGUGGAGGCAUCGGUGGGAUACUACCCUGGCUGUAUUGACCUUCUAACCCGCCGCCCUUAUCGGGCGGGGAGACAGUGUCAGGUGGGCAGUUUGACUGGGGCGGUCGCCUCCUAAAAGGUAACGGAGGCGCCCAAAGGUUCCCUCAGAAUGGUUGGAAAUCAUUCGCAGAGUGUAAAGGCACAAGGGAGCUUGACUGCGAGACCUACAAGUCGAGCAGGGACGAAAGUCGGGCUUAGUGAUCCGGUGGUUCCGCAUGGAAGGGCCAUCGCUCAACGGAUAAAAGCUACCCCGGGGAUAACAGGCUUAUCUCCCCCAAGAGUCCACAUCGACGGGGAGGUUUGGCACCUCGAUGUCGGCUCAUCGCAUCCUGGGGCUGUAGUCGGUCCCAAGGGUUGGGCUGUUCGCCCAUUAAAGCGGUACGCGAGCUGGGUUCAGAACGUCGUGAGACAGUUCGGUCCCUAUCCGUCGCGGGCGCAGGAAAUUUGAGAGGAGCUGUCCUUAGUACGAGAGGACCGGGAUGGACGCACCGCUGGUGUACCAGUUGUUCUGCCAAGGGCAUCGCUGGGUAGCUAUGUGCGGACGGGAUAAGUGCUGAAAGCAUCUAAGCAUGAAGCCCCCCUCAAGAUGAGAUUUCCCAUUCCGCAAGGAAGUAAGAUCCCUGAAAGAUGAUCAGGUUGAUAGGUCUGAGGUGGAAGUGUGGCGACACAUGGAGCUGACAGAUACUAAUCGAUCGAGGACUUAACCAA
rnacentral:rRNA from 1 species